rnacentral:rRNA from 1 species
GAUGAACGCUGGCGGCGUGCCUAAUACAUGCAAGUCGAGCGAACAGACGAGGAGCUUGCUCCUCUGACGUUAGCGGCGGACGGGUGAGUAACACGUGGAUAACCUACCUAUAAGACUGGGAUAACUUCGGGAAACCGGAGCUAAUACCGAAUAAUAUAUUGAACCGCAUGGUUCAAUAGUGAAAGACGGUUUUGCUGUCACUUAUAGAUGGAUCCGCGCCGCAUUAGCUAGUUGGUAAGGUAACGGCUUACCAAGGCGACGAUGCGUAGCCGACCUGAGAGGGCGAUCGGCCACACUGGAACUGAGACACGGUCCAGACUCCUACGGGAGGCAGCAGUAGGGAAUCUUCCGCAAUGGGCGAAAGCCUGACGGAGCAACGCCGCGUGAGUGAUGAAGGUCUUCGGAUCGUAAAACUCUGUUAUUAGGGAAGAACAAAUGUGUAAGUAACUAUGCACGUCUUGACGGUACCUAAUCAGAAGGCCACGGCUAACUACGUG